UGGGGAAUCUUGCGCAAUGGGCGAAAGCCUGACGCAGCGACGCCGCGUGAGUGAUGAAGGCCUUCGGGUUGUAAAGCUCUGUGGGGAGAGACGAAUAAGGGCGAGCUAACACCUCGCUCGAUGACGGUAUCUCCUUAGCAAGCACCGGCUAACUCUGUGCCAGCAGCCGCGGUAAGACAGAGGGUGCAAACGUUGUUCGGAAUUACUGGGCGUAAAGCGCGUGUAGGCGGCUAGGCAAGUCGGAUGUGAAAUCCCAUGGCUCAACCAUGGAAGUGCACCCGAAACUGCCUAGCUGGAGUCCCGGAGAGGAAGGUAGAAUGCUUGGUGUAGAGGUGAAAUUCGUAGAUAUCAAGCGGAAUACCGGUGGCGAAGGCGGCCUUCUGGACGGUGACUGACGCUGAGACGCGAAAGCGUGGGGAGCAAACAGG
rnacentral:rRNA from 1 species